CCUCCAUUUUUGGAGGCUGGAAUUUCAGGAUCAAUGGCCCCCCUCCUCGGCUUGCAAAGGCCACCUUCUCCCCUGUCCCCACGUGGCCCUUUCUCUGCACCUCUUUUCUUCUAAGGCCCUCGGUCCUGUUUUAUCAGAGCUCCUCCUCAUGCAACCUCAGGUACCGUCCCAUUGGAGGCCAGGGCUUUGGGACAUAGGCAUCUGGGGGACUCAGUUCAGCCCAUAACACCUGGUAGGGAAGGAAUGAGGAAGACGGGGGUGGGGGGUGGCCUGAGGAUGCGAAGUCCUGCCCAGCCCCCUCCCCCCGGGGACCCAGGGGGCCACUUAUGCCCACUGUGAAGGAGCAGCCGCACCAGGGCAGGGCUCCAUGUCCCGUUCUCCAGAGGGAGCGUCCCCAGAGCUGUGCACACCGCUCCUGUCUCCUGACGCUGCUUUCCGGAAGGUUCUUCCGUAUCAUUCUGGGUCUAGGAAGAGACACACCUCGAGGUGCCUUUGGAGGAAGCAAAGCCCUGGCCUGGGGUCUGCGCCCCACGUCACCCGCUCAGCAGCUUGCCCAGACGUGCCCGCGGGCCCAGCCGACAACAUAGCAACCCGGAACCCACAGGGGCCGGUCCUCUGCGGGCUCCUGGGAACUUCCCUGUGCCACCGAGUCCCUUCUGCAGAGGAGAGGCCACCGACGCAGCCCCAGGGCGCUCUCUCCGUUGCUGCAAAGACCUUCUUCUCUAAGCUCCGUUCUCGCGGGCUCUCUGGGGCACGCUGGGGAGGGUCCUCCCCCGUGGGUGGCUCCGUGAGCCUGAAGGGCCCCGUCCCUCUGUCCUGCUGUCUUGGGUUUGCCUUUCUCCCCCAGUGACCUCAGUGGCAGCCACCGCCGGCCAUUUCCCCUGCUCCCCAGUCCUGUGGUUCUGGCCUCGUCUUCGUGGAGUCUGACGCAGGAAGCCCGAAACCCACUUGGGAGGCGUCCCAGGAGCCUUUCUCCUCCAGACCCUCCAGGGUGGUGCCAAGUGGGCGGAGGGGGUGCCACUCUCCGCCUUCCUGCAACUCAGCAAAUUGCAAUUUAUGAGCUUCCAUCCACAUGAAAGGGCCCCCGAUGGAGUCUCUCUGGAUUUAUUUGGAAUGUUGAAUUAAUUUGGAAAACAAGGGGAAAAACAACUUGGUUUCAGCCCAGCGAGGGACCGUGACAUUUUGCCCAGUCUGGUGGCAGUUUCUUCAUGUCGGCCCUGAGCACCGCCCCCCAGACCAACCGCAGGCCAGGACCCUGGUUUUGCUUUCGUCGUUGAAUCCUGGGUGUGAAAUACGGCAGCGGAGCUCAGGAGGCCCUGGGGAAUCAGUGGUGGCUGCAUAGAUGAACGGAAGAGCCCCAAAGCGUGGACACUGGUGUCCCUUGUUCAAGUCGUGGGUUGUGAAUGGCCGCGCACAGCUCUCUAUCAAAGACGGGACGGGACCUGCCCGAGCAAACAGGGGUACCCAAGGCAGGUGGCUGUUUGCUUGGUGGGUUAGCAGCCGGGUCAGUGCCAUCUCCUGGGAACAGGAUGCAAAGCCUAGACGAGGACCAGAUCUUGCUCACGGGUCAGCUGGGGAAUCUCAGAGUCCCCGUCCUGGGACUGCUGAGGAGAUAGAUUGGAAAGUGUCGUCCUUUACUCGGGCGCAGUUUGAGGAGUAUCUGCUCGCUCAGCUUCUCCUCCCCCACGCUGACAGCCGGCUCAUCCCUCCCCACUGGAGGCCAGGAGCGAAGGCCUAAAGCCCUGUCAUUUCUUCUGUCCUGUGGGCUUUGUUAGCUGGCCUCUUUGGGGGUCACCAUUCCUAUUUGCAAAGCCUGCUGUGGGGUCCCGUCUUUUGUGUCCAGGUAACGGGGAGCAUCACUCCAGAUGAAGAGGUAGGAUGUGGCGGAGGGGGCUGAGCAGUGACUGGUGCAGACCCCGGAGGCUGGGCCUCCAUGUGUCUCUUCAGAGAGGAGGUGAGGCUCAGGAAGUAGGAAGUACAUUUCCUGAACAUUGGCCGUGGGGAUGGGGGUUGGGUGACAGAAGGUCCUCUGUGGGCACAUGGGCCCCUGCUCGCUCACCUGGGUUCACGUGAUCUCUAUCCAGUCCAGAGGCGAUCAUCACCGGCCACCAUCAUCCUUCUUCCCCUUUCUCUGCCUUUUCUCCCCACGCCCUCGUCAAUUCUCGAGGCAGCAGAAUGAUCGCUUUGUGUCUGUGUGGUGCUGAGGAUGGAACCCAGGGCCUCGUGCAUGGCAGGAGAGCGCUCUGCCCCUGAGCCCCAGCCCCAGCCCAGAAGGAUCGGUUUAAAGAGCAAAUCAGAACACAGCUGCCCAGCUCCGCACCCAGGUCCCCACACUUGGACACACCCCAAGUCCCCACCCUGGCCCUCCUGGGGUUCCCCUUCGUCUCCGGCCUUCUCCGCUGGAAGAACACGGGAUCCUUUUUGAUCUUGUCUGCCGCAGUCUGGCUGGGCACAAUUCAGGAGCCACUUGUCAAAAGAAACUAACUUUAUUUUUAGAACUACAAACGCCAAACAAA